rnacentral:rRNA from 1 species
UACGAAGGGGGCUAGCGUUGUUCGGAAUUACUGGGCGUAAAGGGCGCGUAGGCGGCGUGUCAAGUCAGGCGUGAAAGCCCCGGGCUCAACCUGGGAACCGCGCUUGAGACUGGCAUGCUCGAGUUCGGGAGAGGAUGGUGGAAUUCCCAGUGUAGGGGUGAAAUUCGUAGAUAUUGGGAAGAACACCGAUGGCGAAGGCAGCCAUCUGGACCGACACUGACGCUGAGGCGCGAAAGCGUGGGGAGCAAACAGG